GGUUCCUCCUCCUAUUCUAGAGGACAAAUCCAUACUAACACUAAUCAAGCGUCAGAAUAAGGAACUUGGUACUGACGACUGGACGAUAGAACGAGGACGCACGAGGGACAAUGGAGAAGGUAAGGAUCUCUGGAUCAAAAUUGGUUCAGAAUCCCUCCGAAUCCUUCGUUCCUCUCAAGGCUUCAUAAAGUACGGGCUCAACCAACUUCGGUUGAUGUUGCCGCACAGAAACGCAGUUAUGAGUCCAAGCGGCCUGAGGGUGGUACAGAUUAAUCUGCACCACUCCGAAACAGCAACGGACGACUUGCUGCGCUUUAUGGAGAAGGAAGUUAUCCACGUGGCCUUAAUCCAAGAACCCUAGCUUGCAGCCAGUAAAGUUCGAGGCGUCCGGUCACGAUACUAUGUGCUCCUCUCUCCAAUCCCUGAAGUUCUGGUGAUUUAAUGGUAGUUGCAUUAGAGCGACAGGGGCUACCAACUCUAAUUAUAUCAUCUGCGUACCUACCUUACGACGAAGACAAUCCGCCCUCACGUGCCGUACGCACACUAAUAGAAUGGUGUUAUACAAGGGGCCAUCAUCUUAUCAUAGGAUGUGAUUCUAAUGUCCAUCAUACUCUGUGGGGGAGCUCGGAUAUAAAUGACAGGGACAUUUUACAGACUUUUCUGCACAUUUUCUGAAGUAUUAAACGAUUAACAUCAGACUUGUCUGCACAUUGGCGAAAGGAAAUUUUAUCGUUACGGCAAUUAUGAGACUAAUCUGCACAUUGGCGAAGGACACUUUUAUUUUUAUUCCUAUAUUAUUCUUUAGACAUAAGAGAGUAUAGUCUGCACAUUUUUUGAAGUAAAAUAUAAAAUGGCUUUCGAAUAAUAUCCGAUAAA